UUUUAACACAUGACCCCGUCGAACGAGAAAGGGACUUCGGUCCUGAGUACUGUGGCGCACGGGUGAGUAACACGUGGAUAAUCUGCCUGAUGGACAGGGAUAACAUCUCGAAAGAGGUGCUAAUACCAGAUAAGCCCACAGCAUCUACGGAUGCAGCGGGAAAAGGGGGCCUCUUCAUGAAAGCUUCCACCAACAGAUGAGUCCGCGGUCCAUUAGCUAGUUGGUAGGGUAAUGGCCUACCAAGGCCACGAUGGAUAGCUGGUUUGAGAGAAUGAUCAGCCACACUGGAACUGAGACACGGUCCAGACUCCUACGGGAGGCAGCAGUGGGGAAUAUUGCGCAAUGGGGGCAACCCUGACGCAGCAACGCCGCGUGAGUGAUGAAGGUUUUCGGAUCGUAAAGCUCUGUCAAGAGGGAAGAAACCCCGAUAGGCUAAUACCUUGUCGGAUUGACGGUACCUCUAAAGGAAGCACCGGCUAACUCCGUGCCAGCAGCCGCGGUAAUACGGAGGGUGCGAGCGUUGUUCGGAAUUAUUGGGCGUAAAGCGCGUGCAGGCGGUUGUUUAAGUCUGAUGUGAAAGCCCCGGGCUCAACCUGGGAAGUGCAUUGGAAACUGGGCA
rnacentral:rRNA from 1 species